rnacentral:rRNA from 1 species
GAUUAUGGCUCAGGAUGAACGCUAGCGACAGGCUUAACACAUGCAAGUCGAGGGGCAGCACGGGAGUAGCAAUACAACUGGUGGCGACCGGCGCACGGGUGAGUAACGCGUAUGCAACCUACCUAUCAGAGGGGAAUAACCCGGCGAAAGUCGGACUAAUACCGCAUAAAACAGGGGCACCGCAUGGUGAUAUUUGUUAAAGAAAUUCGCUGAUAGAUGGGCAUGCGUUCCAUUAGGUAGUUGGUGAGGUAACGGCUCACCAAGCCGACGAUGGAUAGGGGAACUGAGAGGUUGGUCCCCCACACUGGUACUGAGACACGGACCAGACUCCUACGGGAGGCAGCAGUGAGGAAUAUUGGUCAAUGGGCGGGAGCCUGAACCAGCCAAGUCCGCGUGAAGGAAGAAGGAUCUAUGGUUCGUAAACUUCUUUUGCAGGGGAAUAAAGUGCAGGACGUGUCCUGUUUUGUAUGUACCCUGAGAAUAAGGAUCGGCUAACUCCGUGCCAGCCGCGGC